CUCCUACGGGAGGCAGCAGUGGGGGAUAUUGCGCAAUGGGGGCAACCCUGACGCAGCAACGCCGCGUGAAGGAUGAAGGUUUUCGGAUUGUAAACUUCUUUUAUUAAGGACGAAAAAUGACGGUACUUAAUGAAUAAGCUCCGGCUAACUACGUGCCAGCAGCCGCGGUAAUACGUAGGGAGCAAGCGUUGUCCGGAUUUACUGGGUGUAAAGGGUGCGUAGGCGGCUUUGCAAGUCAGAUGUGAAAUCUAUGGGCUCAACCCAUAAGCUGCAUUUGAAACUGUAGAGCUUGAGUGAAGUAGAGGCAGGCGGAAUUCCCCGUGUAGCGGUGAAAUGCGUAGAGAUGGGGAGGAACACCAGUGGCGAAGGCGGCCUGCUGGGCUUUAACUGACGCUGAGGCACGAAAGCGUGGGUAGCAAACAGGAUUAGAUACCCUGGUAGUCCACACCGUAAACGAUGAUUACUAGGUGUUGGAGGAUUGACCCCUUCAGUGCCGCAGUUAACACAAUAAGUAAUCCACCUGGGGAGUACGACCGCAAGGUUGAAACUCAAAGGAAUUGACGGGGGCCCGCACAAGCAGUGGAGUAUGUGGUUUAAUUCGACGCAACGCGAAGAACCUUACCAAGUCUUGACAUCCUGCGACGAUGCUGGAAACAGUAUUUUCCUUCGGGACGCAGAGACAGGUGGUGCAUGGUUGUCGUCAGCUCGUGUCGUGAGAUGUUGGGUUAAGUCCCGCAACGAGCGCAACCCUUACUGUCAGUUACUACGCAAGAGGACUCUGGCAGGACUGCCGUUGACAAAACGGAGGAAGGUGGGGAUGACGUCAAAUCAUCAUGCCCUUUAUGACUUGGGCUACACACGUACUACAAUGGCGUUAAACAAAGAGAAGCAAGACCGCGAGGUGGAGCAAAACUCAGAAACAACGUCCCAGUUCGGACUGCAGGCUGCAACUCGCCUGCACGAAGUCGGAAUUGCUAGUAAUCGUGGAUCAGCAUGCCACGGUGAAUACGUUCCCGGGCCUUGUACACACCGC
rnacentral:rRNA from 1 species